GGUGAUAGUAGGCGUUGAGUAGUGAGUACAGGUUGAGUUAUUCAGUGUGACAAGAAAAGACAAGAAAGUGAAGGUAGCAACAUGAGUCCCAAGGAUGCCCUGUUUCUCAUUCUGUCCAUUGUUGCUGCUGCAGUGGGGUCUGUGAGUGGCAGCUCAGAGGUGAAGGAGAGCACUGUUCCUUAUUCCUGCUGUGGAAGCCUGGAGUUGAAGUUCAAUCCACACUGUGAAAACACCUGGAGUGUCAAUGACAAGACCAUUGCUUACUCUGAUGAUGUGAACAAUGACUGCGCACCACCAUGUAGAAAGAUCGGAGAUGGACUGAUGACCCUGGAUACAUGUGUGGAUGUGAACGUUACCAUAAGAUGCGAUGAUAGUAUGAAGAUGACUGUGGAGGAAAGAAUCCACUAUCAAAGCCAAAUGUGCUCUGCUGUUCCAAACAGGAUGGCACCUGGAAAUCAGAGCACCAUUUGGCUGCUACUGCUGGCCGUGGUGAUCGCUGGAUGGAUGUGAUUCCCUGCUGUAGGCAGCUUUUUCAUAGGCAGGCAUCUCUCCUUUUGCUUGCUCAUGUCAUCUGCACUUUACACAAAUCUAUCUCACCAUGUAACGCCUUUCCUAACAUUCGUUUUUCUUUUAUACGCGCUGAGAAAACUUUUAUACUAUUUUACACAUUAGUUGUAAAAAAAGGCAUUAUGCUUUCAAAGGCUUUACUGUUUCUUUAUCCGAGGGCUGUACUACAACCGCAAUACUUACAAGCUGUAACUUUUAAGGAAUUGGCCAUUGUUUAAGAUACGCCACGUAUUUUUUGGCAGUGACUAAAUGUUCUCAAGACAUUCUUUUUUUCUGACAGUUGCAUUUUUUUCAUUCCCUCAAAACUCCUGAAAUUUAAAAUGCACAAUUAUGCAGUCAGAAGCACUUACAAGUAGUUUUAAAAUGUGAAACGUCAGUAUUCUAAGCUACAGCACUUGGUACAUACAGCCCUGAGUUUUGAGAGGUGGUAUUUAUUUUUAACUGGAUUUUAGCAAUUGAGAAGUAACAUCAGAAGUAUUUUUAGUGGCAUAAUUGAUUGUAGGUAGCAGGAAAAGUGGUAAUAGGCCAAUUUCAUGUUUACAAGUCAGCACUGUUAGGUGCUAAGGUGUCAUGUUUAGUGCUGACUACUUUGCACUGUAAAAUGUCCCACUGACACAUAUCGUAUGUUGGUUCCAAGGUUUUUAAAGGGUUUGUGGGAAAAAAAUAUUGUAAUAAGCUACAUUACUGGAUGUCAAACAGUAGCUGGUAUUAGUAUGACUACACUGAAUAUACUUGAAGAAAGGUCAGAGAUUGUCAGAGCAGGAAAGAGCAUCUUAGUGACCUUUAUUGACAAAUACAUGCUGCUUUAAUGCUGGAAGACCAGGUAGUAUUAGUUCUGUAUCAACACCAAAGCACAAAUCAGAUGUCAAAGCUGUAUGCCUUUUACCACUAAUAACUAAUAAUUAUUAACUGAGGUGCUGAUGGAUGUUAAACUACUUUCUUUGAACUUUUGCAUCAAAGCUGAAAGCACUGGUCAAUGAAUUAGUAGGCUGACAGAAAACAUUUUUAAAAAUAAUUCUUCCAAAAAUUCACUUUAUGCUUUAAUGUCUGUCUGCUGAGAUAUAACAAGCAACAUAUCCAGCUUGUGCUUUGUGAAACUUGAAUUUUGUUGGCUAAAAAUCUUCAGAUGCAAUUGGUCGACCAAACAUUAAUAAUUUUCAUAACUGCUUAAUCAUUUCAGCCAUUUUUGUCGACACAUAUUUGCUGCAUUACUUUGUAUCCUAUGACUGUAAACUGACUGAGUUUCGAACUAUUUGUCUGACAAAAUAUUGGGAAAAUGUGAUGGAGAUUUCUACUUUUCUGAUAUUUAACAAACAGACAAAUUGGCUAGACAAAUGAAUAAUGGAUGGGAUUAACACUGGAAAAAAUGCUAGUGGCAGCCAAUUUUGGGUAACAAUUUUAGGAAUUUCAUAAAUGAUUUAAGCUAUUUUGUGAAAGGCUUAAAGCUCUUUUUUUUUUCCCUUACUGUAAAAACGUUUCUGAACAUGCUAUUCAAAGAGGCCAAAAUGGGCAUUUUUCAAACUAUUUUUUACAGUUUAUUGACUAAACAGUUCAGAAAAAAUGACAGAUUGAUAUGAAAUUCACCUUUUGACUUGUUGCUGGUGCUUUAGGUACUUGGUCAAAAGUCGACACUAAUAACUGGUAGAAUAAUGACCAAAAACAUUAACUGAACACAAGGUACUCAAAUACAGCUCUUAUACUACUAAGUUGUGUUGGGUUUGGAACCUGUUUGUAGUGCGUGUACAUGCUUCAUUAUAUAUAAUAUACUAAUUGUGUAAAUAGGCCAAACUAAAUAAGCUAUUUCCGUUUUUCUAAAGGUAUGGAAGUAAAACUCUGUGCUCUUUCAAAAAUGUUUUCUGCUAAGCCAAGUUAUGGAGCCUGACAAAGUGAUUAUGACUUUUUUAGUUACUUUACAUUACUUGAAUUUGCCAAUCUGUCAGUUUAUAACCAUAUAAACAAUGCAAAUAAUUGAAGCGUUUGACAGCACUGCCUGUACAAUUUAACGUAUUUAUCGAAUAGCCAACACAAUGCAUCUCUUUAUAACCAAAUUUCACAUAUGUUUCACUCAUGUCUCAGGAUUUAGGUCUUUCAACUGAUUUUAACUCAAUUUUUUAAUUAAAAGAAUGAAUGAUUGAACGAAUGAAUUUAGUUAGUCUUCUUCUAAUUUUAGUCUUUGAAUGAAAUCAGAUGAUUUGGUUCAGAAACUCAGCUUUUAAUUCAGGAAUUAAAGCUCUAAUGAUGCUCUUUCUCGUCCUCAUGAUUAUCUCUGAUCUUUUCCAAUCACUAAAGUCAGGCAUUAAGUAAGGUGGCAUUUAUAAACAUUCACUAAUUUACUAGAGUUGACCCUAGUAUAAAGAGUAACAGAUCUCAUAAUCUGACAGUAAAUCUUAAGAAUUACCCUGACUGAAAUACAAACAUUUCACAAACAGAGCCAGCUAUGAACAUAUCUACAGCUUACAGCAUUACUAUACAAAUGACUGAAAGAGUCAUGCGGGAAGGGUGGGUGGGGGGUGGACUGAGCCAAUUAUACAAUUUUACCUUCAUUUUUUUAUACCUCAUCCUAACAUAAUAUAUUCCCUGCUAUCGUGUCAUUGCCAUGUAUUUAUUUAUUUUGUCCAAUAAUGACCAAAGUGCACAUCAGCUGAAACUCUCAGCACAUUUAAGUCCAGUCUGAAGACCUACCUGUUCUCAGCUGCUUUUGACUAAGUUCUUCUAAGAGUUAUUUUAAAUCUUAUUUUAUGACAAACUCUGCAGUGUAACUUUUAAAAUGUCCUUGCUUCCCAACUUUUGUUUUUGAUUCUUUUACUUUUCUGCAUCCUUAAAUUUUAAUGACCCUUUUAAUGAUUUUAUAAAUGUUUUCUUUCUUUUUAUAAUUGUGUUUUCAUCUGCUGUUUUAAUGUCCUUGUGAAGCACUUUGAAUCACCUUGUUGUUGAAAUGUGCUAUAUAAAUAAACUAACUUUAACUUUAACAUGUGCAAUUCUACUUGUAUUGCUGCUCUCACAUCUUCUGUCAAAAAAAAUAAUAAUAAUUUGUUGAU
ensembl:lncRNA